GCGGGGAUGCUGGAACUGGCAGACAGGCUAGACUAAGGAUCUAGUGAUCAUUAGAUCGUGAGGGUUCAAGUCCCUUUCCCCGCA
rnacentral:tRNA from 1 species